rnacentral:rRNA from 1 species
AGAGUUUGAUCCUGGCUCAGGAUGAACGCUGGCGGCGUGCUUAACACAUGCAAGUCGAACGCACAUAUCUUUCGGGGUGUGUGAGUGGCAGACGGGUGCGUAACACGUAGGUGACCUGCCUUCAAGUGGGGAAUAACUGUCCUAACGGAUGGCUAAUACCGCAUAUGUUCCCGGCGUCGCGUCGGGAGUAAAGCAGCAAUGCGCUUGGAGAGGGGCCUGCGGCGGAUUAGCUAGUUGGUGGGGUAACGGCCUACCAAGGCGAUGAUCCGUAGGGGGCGUGAGAGCGUGGCCCCCCACACUGGCACUGAGACACGGGCCAGACUCCUACGGGAGGCAGCAGUGAGGAAUAUUGCACAAUGGGCGCAAGCCUGAUGCAGCAACGCCGCGUGCGGGACGAAGGCCUUCGGGUCGUAAACCGCUUUUCUGGGGAAAGAGCAAGGACGGUACCUCAGGAAUAAGUCUCGGCUAACUACGUGCCAGCAGCCGCGGUAAAACGUAGGAGGCGAGCGUUAUCCGGAUUUACUGGGCGUAAAGCGCACGCAGGCGGCUCUGUGAGUCGGACGUGAAAGCUCCCGGCUUAACCGGGAGAGGCCGUUCGAUACUGCGGGGCUUGAGGUAGGGAGAGGAAUGCGGAAUUCCCGGUGUAGUGGUGGAAUGCGUAGAUAUCGGGAGGAACACCUGUGGCGAAAGCGGCAUUCUGGCCCUCACCUGACGCUGAGGUGCGAAAGCGUGGGUAGCAAACAGGAUUAGAUACCCUGGUAGUCCACGCCGUAAACGUUGGGCACUAGGUGUGGGGUCUAUUCAACGGACUCCGUGCCGUAGCUAACGCAUUAAGUGCCCCGCCUGGGGAGUACGGCCGCAAGG